rnacentral:rRNA from 1 species
AACGAACGCUGGCGGCAUGCCUAACACAUGCAAGUCGAACGAGACCUUCGGGUCUAGUUGCGCACGGGUGCGUAACGCGUGGGAACCUGCCCUUAGGUUCGGAAUAACUCCCCGAAAGGGGUGCUAAUACCGGAUAAUGUCUUCCGACCAAAGAUUUAUCGCCUUUUGAUGGGCCCGCGUGGGAUUAGCUGGUUGGUAGGGUAAACGCCGCCCAAGGCCACGUUCCAUAGCUGGUCGGGGAGGAUGAUCAGCCACACUGGGACUGAGACACGGCCCAGACUCCUACGAGAGGGAGCAGUGGGGAAUAUAGGACAAUGGAGGAAUGCGUGAUCAAGCAACGCCGGGUGAGUCAUGAAGGCAUUGGUGUUCUAAAGCUUUCUUACCCGGGAUGAUAAUGACAGUACCGGGAGAAUAAGCUCCGGCUAACUCCGUG